rnacentral:rRNA from 1 species
AUUGAACGCUGGCGGCAGGCCUAACACAUGCAAGUCGAACGAGCGGCGGACGGGUGAGUAAUUUCUGGGAAACUGCCUGAUGGAGGGGGAUAACUACUGGAAACGGUAGCUACUACCGCAUACCAUCAGAUGUGCCCAGAUGGGAUUAGCUAGUGGGUGGGGUAAAGGCUCACCUAGGCGACGAUCCCUAGCUGGUCUGAGAGGAUGACCAGCCACACUGGAACUGAGACACGGUCCAGACUCCUACGGGAGGCAGCAGUGGGGAAUAUUGCACAAUGGGCGCAAGCCUGAUGCAGCCAUGCCGCGUGUGUGAAGAAGGCCUUCGGGUUGUAAAGCACUUUCAGCGGGGAGGCGUUACCCGCAGAAGAAGCACCGGCUAACUCCGUGCCAGCAGCCGCGGUAAUAC